rnacentral:rRNA from 1 species
GAUGAACGCUGGCGGCGUGCCUAAUACAUGCAAGUCGAGCGAACGGACGAGAAGCUUGCUUCUCUGAUGUUAGCGGCGGACGGGUGAGUAACACGUGGAUAACCUACCUAUAAGACUGGGAUAACUUCGGGACACCGGAGCUAAUACCGGAUAAUAUUUUGAACCGCAUGGUUCAAAAGUGAAAGACGGUCUUGCUGUCACUUAUAGAUGGAUCCGCGCUGCAUUAGCUAGUUGGUAAGGUAACGGCUUACCAAGGCAACGAUGCAUAGCCGACCUGAGAGGGUGAUAGGCCGCACGAGAACUGAGACACGGUCCAGACUCCUACGGGAGGCAGCAGUAGGGAAUCUUCCGCAAAGGGCGAAAGCCUGACGGAGCAACGCCGCGUGAGUGAUGAAGGUCUUCGGAUCGGAAAACUCUGUUAUUAGGGAAGAACAUAUGUGUAAGUAACUGUGCACAUCUUGACGGUACCUAAUCAGAAAGCCACGGCUAACUACGUG